GGAGAUAAAAGAGUCUCAGAGGGAUUUUUUUUGCCCAGGCUGGCUUUAAAUUCAUAUUUUCAGAUCUCAACCUCCUGAGUACUAGGAUUACAGGUGUGAGCCCCAGGAGAUGGGUAACUUCUAACUACAACUUUAGUUAGGUCCAUAGACUGGGAAAGUCCUUUCAUUUAUUUUCAAAUGACACUGCUGUGCUCAGUGAGUUUUUUUUUUUAAUGAAACAUUCAGAAACCUUAUUAACCAAUGCAGUAUGAAUAAAUAGGGGCAGUAAAGAGUUUAGUUAAAAGUUAAGUAUUACACAUGUAGAUAAAAUAAUGAAUCUUUGCCCAGAAUUCCUAUGAAGAAAUUUAGUGCCUAAAUCUGUUUGAAUGGAAAUAUAUCGGGCAUUGCUAGGGGGCUGGGAAUACGGCCUAGUGGCAAGAGUGC